UGGGGAAUAUUGGACAAUGGAGGGAACUCUGAUCCAGCAAUUCUGUGUGUGUGAAGAAGGUUUUAGGACUGUAAAACACUUUUAGUAGGGAAGAAAGAAAUGACGGUACCUACAGAAGAAGCGACGGCUAAAUACGUGCCAGCAGCCGCGGUAAUACGUAUGUCGCGAGCGUUAUCCGGAAUUAUUGGGCUUAAAGGGCAUCUAGGCGGUUAAACAAGUUGAAGGUGAAAACCUGUGGCUCAACCAUAGGCUUGCCUACAAAACUGUAUAACUAGAGUACUGGAAAGGUGGGUGGAACUACACGAGUAGAGGUGAAAUUCGUAGAUAUGUGUAGGAAUGCCGAUGAUGAAGAUAACUCACUGGACAGCAACUGACGCUGAAGUGCGAAAGCUAGGGGAGCAAACAGG
rnacentral:rRNA from 1 species